UCUACCCAUUCUUAUCUUCAAAUUGGCUUCCUCAUUAAGCUAUUAAAUAGAAGCUUACUCAUUAAGACAUUCUAUCUUCUCUCUCUAAUCUCUAAAUUAUCAUUCUCUCUUAAUUCCUACCCAAAUUCUCGACUGCUUCCAAUUAUCAAAUUAGUUCCAAAUCUUGGUUGUAAAGACUCGGCUAUAUCCCGCUUUCCAAAUCAGUUUCCAAGAUUUCCCAAAACAAGAAAGAGAUCCAAUUUUGGUGAAUUCAGAAACAAGAUUUUCCUCAUUUCCUACUCAUAUCAAGGUCCGGGCGACAGAAAGUGAAGCCGAAGAAGAAGCGACUCCACGUCAGCUUUAAGAACAUUUAAGGUUGAGCAGGCGAUGGAAUGGUUUGGUGUUGAGCGGGAAUUCUUUUGAUGGAUAUGUAAUGAAACCUUGAGUAUGCAUCUCCAUAUGCAUAACUCACACGUUUUUCCGCUGCAAACACUCUGAUUUAUUUAUCGUUUCUAUUUGAACUUAUUACUACUUCAUUUUGAUUAACUUUCAUUUGGGGUCUAAUCAUUAUGGCAGGCUCGUUUGUAAAUUACCCAAGAGGUUAUAUAUAUGUAUAUAUAUAUAUAUAUAUAUAU